rnacentral:lncRNA from 12 species
CAAAACUUUUAUUUUGGAUGUGAUUAAUCGUGAUUAAUCAUUUGACAGCCCUAAUGUAAAUAUGUCUGCACAUUUCUGAUUUUAGCGUGUGAGGAGACUUUUAUUUUGGAGAGGAGAUAUGACAUCAUAAGCCUGUGCCUCCUCCUGCUCUGUUGUGAUUUGGCUGAAGAAAGAAAAUCAUCUACGUGACACACUAUUAUAAAGAUGUCGUUUAUUAAAGAGGAGAGUGAAGACAUUAGGAUUGCAGAAGUGUUCAGCAUCAAACAUGAAGAUACUGAGGAACAAACAGACCUGAAGGUGCUGAAAGAGGAGAGUCAAGAACUGAAUGAAAAUGAAGAGAAGUACUUGGUUGAGGAAAAUCCAGAUUUCAAAACGGAAGAAAAAUAUCUUAGCUGCUCACAGACUAAAGAGGCUUCCACACGAAUAAGAGCUCAGAAGACAGGAACUAGAGAAAUUCAGCUGGAAUAUUCCCAUCAGUUUACAAGUGAAGACGAGCAUCAAAGCUUCAGGAAGAAAUCUGUAAAGUCUGAGUUUAUUAAAGAGGACCAAGAGGAGAUGAGAGAUCCAGAACCCUGCAGAAUCAAACACACUGAAGACACUGAAGAACUAACAGGUUGGUGUUUAUUCUUCAUUCUUCACUAACAAUGUUGGCAGUACUAAAGUUUCAAGUAGUUUUAGAUUGUGUUUGUUGUAAUAGGAAAUAUCUUAAGAAAAUGUAAUCAAAUAAUAAGGGCCACUUUCUAUGAACUG